rnacentral:rRNA from 1 species
GAAAGUAAAGAAGGGCGCAUGGCGGAUGCCUUGGCUCUCGGAGGCGAUGAAGGACGUGAUAAGCUGCGAUAAGCUUUGGGGAGGUGCAAAUGACCUUUGAUCCAGAGAUUUCCGAAUGGGACAACCCAAUAUCUUGAAGAGGUAUUAUCCAACGUUGUUGGAGGCUAACGCAGGGAACUGAAACAUCUUAGUACCUGCAGGAAAAGAAAAUAAACAAUGAUUCCCCCAGUAGUGGCGAGCGAACGGGGAACAGCCCAAACCAUCCAUGUUACGGCAUGGGUGGGGUUGUAGGACUACGCCGUUGCAUGAAGACAUCAGAGAAGAACUUUCUGGAAAGAAAGACCAUAGAGCAUGACAGUUGCGUAUUCGAAUGUUGUCGAAGCAUAGUAGUAUCCUGAGUAGCGCGGAGCACGAGGAAUUCUGCGUGAAUCUGCCGGGACCAUCCGGUAAGGCUAAAUACUCCCGAGAGACCGAUAGCGAACCAGUACCGUGAGGGAAAGGUGAAAAGCACUUCGAACAGAAGAGUGAAAUAGUUCCUGAAACCGUGCGCCUACAAGCGGUCGGAGCUCGUUAAUGAGUGACGGCGUGCCUUUUGCAUAAUGAACCUACGAGUUGCCUUUGCCGGCAAGGUUAAGUGUGACGACACACGUAUCCGAAGCGAAAGCGAGUCUGAACAGGGCGUAUAGUCGGCAGUGGCAGACGCGAAACCAAGUGAUCUACCCUUGGCCAGGUUGAAGGCUGGGUAACACCAGCUGGAGGACCGCACCAAUAAGCGUUGAAAAGCUUCUGGAUGAGCUGAGGGUAGGGGUGAAAGGCUAAUCAAACUUGGAGAUAGCUCGUACUCCCCGAAAUGCAUUUAGGUGCAGCCUUGCGGGUUACUGAUGUGAGGUAGAGCGACUGAUAAGAUGCGAGGGCUUCACCGCCUAUCAAGUCUUGACAAACUCCGAAUGCGCAUCAGUUCUACCGCAGGAGUGAGGGCAUGGGUGCUAAGGUCCGUGCCCGAGAGGAGAAGAAUCCGGACCACCUGCUAAGGUCCCGAAAUGACAGCUAAGUUAAACUAACGAAGUCUGACUGCUAAGACAGCUAGGAUGUUGGCUUGGAAGCAGCCAUUCAUUUAAAGAGUGCGUAACAGCUCACUAGUCGAGGAGUCGGGCGUGGAUAAUAAUCGGGUAUCAAGUUGUCUACCGAAGCAGUGGGAUCAUUUAUAUGAUCGGUAGGGGAGCAUUCCAGUCAGCGUCGAAGGCGUACCGUGAGGUAUUCUGGAGCGUCUGGAAAAGCAAAUGUAGGUAUAAGUAACGAUAAAGGGGGCGGGAAACCCCCUCGCCGAAAGACUAAGGUUUCCUGAUCAACGCUAAUCGGAUCAGGGUCAGUCGGGUCCUAAGGCUCAGCCGAACGGCGAUGCCGAUGGCAGAAACGGUUAAUAUUCCGUUACUACCUUCAGGAGUGACGUGGAGACGCAGUAGUGACAGUGCCGCCAUCUGACGGAAUAGAUGGUUGAAGGGUGUAGGAGUCGAUCAUGGCAGGCAAAUCCACCAUGAGAUCCGAACCUGAUAGUAUGCCGCGUCCUUCGGGACAAGGCAAUAGUGCGCGUAAGCAUGCUGCCGAGAAAAUCCGCUAAACUUAAUCCUGCAGGUACCCGUACCGCAAACGGACACACGUAGUCGGGAUGAAUAUUCUAAGGCGCUUGAGUGAUUCACGGUUAAGGAACUAGGCAAACUGACCCUGUAACUUCGGGAUAAAGGGUCCCUACCCUUUUAUGGGAGGGCGCAGAGAAUCGGUCCAGGCAACUGUUUAACAAAAACACAGGGCUGUGCCAAAUCGAAAGAUCCAGUAUACAGCCUGACACCUGCCCGGUGCUGGAAGGUUAAGAGGAGAUGUCAUCGAUAAGAGAAGCGUUGAAUUGAAGCCCCAGUAAACGGCGGCCGUAACUAUAACGGUCCUAAGGUAGCGAAAUUCCUUGUCGGGUAAGUUCCGACCUGCACGAAUGGUGUAAUGAUCUGGACACUGUCUCAACCGUGAGCUCAGUGAAAUUGUAGUAUCGGUGAAGAUGCCGAUUACCCGCGAUGGGACGAAAAGACCCCGUGAACCUUUACUAUAGCUUAUCAUUGAAUCUGGGCACGUGAUGUGUAGGAUAGGUCGGAGGCUUUGAAGCAGGUACGCCAGUAUUUGUGGAGCCGCUGUUGAAAUACGACCCUUUAUUUGUUUGGAUUCUAACCCGUGGAACGGGGACAUUGAUUGGUGGGUAGUUUGACUGGGGUGGUCGCCUCCAAAAGCGUAACGGAGGCUUCUAAAGGUGCCCUCAGGACGAUUGGUAACCGUCCGUAGAGUGUAAUGGCAUAAGGGCGCUUGACUGGGAGACAGACAAGUCGAUCAGGUAGGAAACUAGAGCAUAGUGAUCCGGUGUUUCCGUAUGGAA